rnacentral:rRNA from 1 species
GAUGAACGCUGGCGGCGUGCCUAAUACAUGCAAGUCGAGCGAACAGACGAGGAGCUUGCUCCUCUGACGUUAGCGGCGGACGGGUGAGUAACGCGUGGAUAACCUACCUAUAAGACUGGGAUAACUUCGGGAAACCGGAGCUAAUACCGGAUAACAUGUUGAACCGCAUGGUUCAACAGUGAAAGACGGUCUUGCUGUCACUUAUAGAUGGAUCCGCGCCGCAUUAGCUAGUUGGUAAGGUAACGGCUUACCAAGGCAACGAUGCGUAGCCGACCUGAGAGGGUGAUCGGCCACACUGGAACUGAGACACGGUCCAGACUCCUACGGGAGGCAGCAGUAGGGAAUCUUCCGCAAUGGGCGAAAUCCUGACGGAGCAACGCCGCGUGAGUGAAGAAGGUCUUCGGAUCGUAAAACUCUGUUAUUAGGGAAGAACAAAUGUGUAAGUAACUAUGCACGUCUUGACGGUACCUAAUCAGAAAGCCACGGCUAACUACGUG